GAUGAACGCUGGCGGCGUGCCUAAUACAUGCAAGUCGAGCGAACAGACGAGGAGCUUGCUCCUUUGACGUUAGCGGCGGACGGGUGAGUAACACGUGGGUAACCUACCUAUAAGACUGGGAUAACUUCGGGAAACCGGAGCUAAUACCGGAUAAUAUUUCGAACCGCAUGGUUCGAUAGUGAAAGAUGGCUUUGCUAUCACUUAUAGAUGGACCUGCGCCGUAUUAGCUAGUUGGUAAGGUAACGGCUUACCAAGGCAACGAUACGUAGCCGACCUGAGAGGGUGAUCGGCCACACUGGAACUGAGACACGGUCCAGACUCCUACGGGAGGCAGCAGUAGGGAAUCUUCCGCAAUGGGCGAAAGCCUGACGGGGCAACGCCGCGUGAGUGAUGAAGGUCUUCGGAUCGUAAAACUCUGUUAUUAGGGAAGAACAAACGUGUAAGUAACUGUGCACGUCUUGACGGUACCUAAUCAGAAAGCCACGGCUAACUACGUG
rnacentral:rRNA from 1 species